rnacentral:rRNA from 1 species
GAUGAACGCUGGCGGCGUGCCUAAUACAUGCAAGUCGAGCGAACAGACGAGGAGCUUGCUCCUCUGACGUUAGCGGCGGACGGGUGAGUAACACGUGGAUAACCUACCUAUAAGACUGGGAUAACUUCGGGAAACCGGAGCUAAUACCGGAUAAUAUAUUGAACCGCAUGGUUCAAUAGUGAAAGACGGUUUUGCUGUCACUUAUAGAUGGAUCCGCGCCGCAUUAGCUAGUUGGUAAGGUAACGGCUUACCAAGGCAACGAUGCGUAGCCGACCUGAGAGGGUGAUCGGCCACACUGGAACUGAAACACGGUCCAGACUCCUACGGGAGGCAGCAGUAGGGAAUCUUCCGCAAUGGGCGAAAGCUUGACGGAGCAACGCCGCGUGAGUGAUGAAGGUCUUCGGAUCGUAAAACUCUGUUAUUAGGGAAGAACAAAUGUGUAAGUAACUAUGCACGUCUUGACGGUACCUAAUCAGAAAGCCACGGCUAACUACGUG